ACCUUUUAUGUUAUUUAUAUCUAGAAUCGACAUAAGAAAUUCAAGUUUAAAACUUUUUAUGUCAAUUACAUUAAAACCGAUAUAGAAAGUAAGAGUGUUGUCAAUUUUGUAAUAAAGUAUAAGACUUUCUAUGCUAGUUAUAUUUAGAAUUGCAUAGAAAGUGAGUACGGUGACAAUUUUGUAAUAAAGUAUGUCACUUAUCACAAGAACUGUCAUAAUACAUUUGAUUUCCUUGUUCCUUAUCAGGCUUCUCAUACUGCAUUUCAUACUACUACUUUUACUGUUCUCUUCAACCUCUUUGCUUCUUUGUCUCCUCCUCACCUACUCGUUACACUGCACCCUUUUGCUUUCGUUGGAUCACUCUUGCUUUCAUAACUCUCUUGCUUGGUAAAUAGGUGAUUUUAUCUCUCUUACUCUUAAUCAAUAUUAGAUUUCCAAAAUUUGCCACAACUUCAUUUUCUAUACCAACUUCAAUGAUGCCUCCUUCCUUGUACCUUUUGACAAUAAAGUCUAGAAUCUCAAAGUCCUCGAUGACACCUUCAUGCCCUCCACCAAGUUAAUCGGCAACUUCCUUGUUUGUGCUUACCUAUACACGAAAGCCGAACCACAAACUCAUUAAGGACUUCUUUCUUAAAAGCCGACGAAAAGCGUCUUUCUCCCAC
rnacentral:lncRNA from 1 species